rnacentral:rRNA from 1 species
GAUGAACGCUGGCGGCGUGCUUAACACAUGCAAGUCGAACGAGAAAUGAUAUUACGAUCUCUUCGGAGUGACAGUUUUACUUUGAGUGGCGGACGGGUGAGUAACGCGUGAGCAACCUGCCCUAUACCGGGGGAUACCAGUUGGAAACGACUGUUAAUACCGCAUAAGCGCACGAUAAGACAUCUUGUUGUGUGAAAAACUCCGGUGGUAUAGGAUGGACUCGCGUAUGAUUAGCCAGUUGGCGGGGUAAAGGCCCACCAAAGCGACGAUCAUUAGCCGACCUGAGAGGGCGACCGGCCACAUUGGGACUGAGACACGGCCCAAACUCCUACGGGAGGCAGCAGUGGGGAAUAUUGCACAAUGGGCGAAAGCCUGAUGCAGCGACGCCGCGUGAGUGAGGAAGUAUUUCGGUAUGUAAAGCUCUAUCAGCAGGGAAGAAA